UGGCCCCCACGACCGGAACUGAGAUACUGUCCGGACACCUACGGGUGGCUGCAGUCGAGAAUCUUCCGCAAUGGACGAAAGUCUGACGGAGCGACGCCGCGUGCGGGAUGAAGGCCCUUGGGUUGUAAACCGCUUUCGGAGGGGAUGAAAUCCUCGAGGGUUCUCCCUCGAGGUUGACAGAGCCUCAAAAGAAGCACGGGCUAAGUACGUGCCAGCAGCCGCGGUAACACGUACUGUGCGAACGUUAUUCGGAAUCACUGGGCUUAAAGGGUGCGUAGGCGGCGAUUCAAGUCAGAUGUGAAAUGCCUGAGCUCAACUGAGGCAUUGCGUUUGAAACUGAAUUGCUAGAGUAUUUCAGGGGUGUGCGGAACUGCCAGUGGAGCGGUGAAAUGUGUUGAUAUUGGCAGGAACACCGGAGGCGAAAGCGGCACACUGGGGAAUAACUGACGCUGAGGCACGAAAGCCAGGGGAGCGAACGGGAUUAGAUACCCCGGUAGUCCUGGCUGUAAACGAUGAGCACUGGGCGGGAGGGGGUUUCCCUUUUCUGCCGUAGCGAAAGCGUUAAGUGCUCCGCCUGGGGAGUAUGGUCGCAAGGUUAAAACUCAAGGAAUUGACGGGGACCCGCACAAGCGGUGGAUGAUGUGGUUUAAUUCGAUGCAACGCGAAAACCUUACCCACCU
rnacentral:rRNA from 1 species